GAUGAACGCUGGCGGCGUGCCUAAUACAUGCAAGUCGAGCGAACAGACAAGGAUCUUUCUCCUCUGACGUUAGCGUCGCACGGGUGAGUAACACGUGGAUAACCCACCUAUAAUACUUGGAUAACAGCGUGAAACAGGAUCUAUUACCGCAUAAUAUCUUUAUCCGCAGGGUUCAAUAGUUGGAGACGGUUUUGCUGUCACUUAUAGAUGGUUCCGCGCUGCAUUAGCUAGUUGGUAUGGUAACGGCUUCACAAGUCAACGAUGCAUAGCCGACCUGAGAGGGUGAUCGGCCACACUGGAAAUGAGAGGCGGGCCAGACGCCUACGGGAGGCGGCAGUGGGGAAUCUUCCGGAAAGGGCGAAAGCCUGACGAGGCAACGGCGGGUGAGUGAUGAAGGUCUUCGGAUCGUAAAGCUCUGUUAUUAGGGAAGAACAAAUGUGUAAAUAACUAUGCACGUCUUGACGGUACGUAAUCAGAAAGCCACGGUUAACUACGU
rnacentral:rRNA from 1 species